rnacentral:tRNA from 1 species
UCCCUGGGGGCUCAGAUGGUAUGGAAUCUGCCUGCAAUGCAGGAGACCCAGGUUCGAUCCCUGGGUGGGGAA